AUGCCUGUGAGUGCCCUAAAACAGAAGGGCUCUGCAGAAGGUGCAAGCUCGACAGAGAAAUCCGGCUCUGGCAGAUCUGUGCAGCCUCUGGAAAUGCAGCAAGUCCUGAGACACAUCUGGCGGGUCCUUGUUGAGUUUCCAUGGACAGGAACUCACUGGGGAGCUGCCCCUUCUGGGAUUGGGCGGGAGGGGACGGGGCGACGACCAGCCACGUUGGAGGUGACCUGGAGUCUGCUACAGCGCUGGGGCACCAGUUUUAGGAGAGGCGCCGACUUCGAUUCUUGGGGCCAGCUGGUGGAGGCGAUAGAUGAGUAUCAGAUAUUAGCAAGACAUCUACAAAAAGAGGCCCAAGCUCAACACAGUAAUUCUGAAUUCACAGAAGAACAAAAGAAAACCAUAGGCAAAAUUGCAACAUGCUUGGAAUUGCGAAGUGCAGCUUUACGGUCCACACAGCCCCAAGAAGAAUUUAAACUGGAGGACCUGAAGAAGCUAGAACCAAUCCUAAAGAAUAUUCUUACAUAUAAUAAAGAAAUCCCCUUUGAUGUUCAGCCUGUCCCAUUAAGAAGGAUUUUAGCACCUGGUGAAAAAGAGAAUUUAGAAUUUGAAGAAGAUGAAGAAGGGGGUGGUGCUGGAGCAGGGUCUCCUGUUUCUUUUCCUGCUAGAGUACCUGGCACUUUAUUACCAAGAUUGCCAUCAGAACCAGGAAUGACGUUACUCACUAUCAGAAUUGAGAAAAUAGGUUUGAAUGAUGCUGGACAGUGCAUCGAUCCCUAUAUUACAGUUAGUGUAAAGGAUCUGAAUGGCAUAGAUUUAACUCCUGUGCAAGAUACUUCUGUGGCUUCAAGAAAAGAAGAUACAUAUGUUCAUUUUAAUGUGGAUAUUGAACUCCAGAAGCAUGUUGAAAAAUUAACCAAAGGUGCAGCUAUCUUCUUUGAAUUCAAACACUACAAGACUAAAAAAAGAUUUACCAGCACCAGUGUUUUGCUUUCAUGGAAAUGGAUGGAAUUAAACAUGGGUCAAUUGUAAUAGAACUAUACAAGAAACCCACUGACUUUAAAAGAAAGAAAUUACAAUUAUUGACCAAGAAACCACUUUAUCUUCAUCUACAUCAAACAUUGCACAAGGAAUGAUCCUGACAUGAUUAACCUGGAACAUCUGUGAAUUUUACCACUUGGUAGAAACCAUCAUAGCUCUGUGUAGCAUAUUCACCCUUCAACAGACAGGAAGCAAGCUGUACCCAUACCAGUAGGCCAGAGCGAGUCCACUGCAAAGCUGUACCACAGAAUUCAAAGUCCAGCACAUCACUGAUGUAUAAGACCCCUUGGAUACAGGUUUAUUGUAGAUUUCAAAAUAUGUUUUUACUUUUCUAUUAAUUGUGCAAUUAAUAGUCUGUUUUGUAAUUUACCACUACUCCUACCCUGCUUCCUGGAACAAUACUGUUGUGGGUAGGAUGUGCUCAUCUUCAAACUUAAUACAGUAAUAAGAAUGUGCUAGAGUUUACACAUUUGUUCACUUUUGCUCUAAUAUGCUCUUUUGAUUUGAGUUAACUUCAAGUUUUGGGUUGAUGUGGGUAGGAUAGUAUCCAACUGUUUGAGAGGAAUUGAACCAAUUAUGUUGGGCCUCUGAAGGUCUAUCUGGAUAUUUAUAGGUUACUCCUCAGAAGUGGCUUCAGUUCACCCUGAUCUGAUAGUUUUCCUGCUUAGAAAGUGUGCCUUGGCCAGAUCGGUAUCCCAUAUGGGAAUGUUCCUCAGGUUGUAGCUCUAAUUUUUUUCCAGAUAACCCGAUUGUUCUUCUGAAAAUGAGCUUAUUUUUAGUCAUGUUGAUUAGCUAUUCUUCUACAUCACAUUGUUACUCUUUCUGAUAAUGAUUCUUGGGUUAACACUGGAGCCAUCUCAAAAUAAUUAAAAAAUUUUAGAUGGGUUUACAGUAUCUUUUAAAUCAUGUCAUCUAAAAAUAAUUGAGUCAGAUGCUAACGACAUACUGCAGGCAUAACUGCUGUUUUUCUGACAACUGAUUAUGAAACCUUAAAACCUGCAUACCUCUUCUUAUAGUGAUAAGUAUGCAAAAUUUGGAAAGAUAUUCUAUUUUUUUAUAUAGGUAGAUAGGAUUGCCACUUAUUUCUUAUUUAGAUAUAUUGACAUUCAUCCAUAUAAAAUAUGCAGGUCAUUAGCUUAUGAUAAUUUGAAUAUUGACAUUACUUUUGACUUAAUGAGGCAUAAAUAAAACUUUCAUAAUAUAUAUGAGGUGGAUAUUUGAUACACAGAACAUUGAUUUGUGGUGGGCUUUCUGUGGUUGAGAUGUAGAACCCACAUAUUUUAAUAUUCACUAUUUUAAAUGAGCAAUGCAUGAAGGGAAUGCAGUGUCAGUAUCUGGUGUAUUUUUAAACUAGUGUAAUAACCCUAGUCAUACUAUUCAAUAUGUUUGCUUUUUAAAUAAGUAACCGCAAUUAAGUUGUUUUAGCCCUUGCACUUCAAGAGAUCUAGUCUUUACUUUCAGUUGUCUAUUAGGUCAAUUCUGUUUACUAGUUGGAUACUAAUAAAAACUAUAUGAGCCUGAAAAAA